rnacentral:rRNA from 1 species
UACGGAGGGUGCGAGCGUUGUCCGGAAUCACUGGGCGUAAAGGGUGCGUAGGCGGGUUUUUAAGUCAGAGGUGAAAUCCUGGAGCUCAACUCCAGAACUGCCUUUGAUACUGAAAGUCUUGAGUAUGGGAGAGGUGAGUGGAACUGCGAGUGUAGAGGUGAAAUUCGUAGAUAUUCGCAAGAACACCAGUGGCGAAGGCGGCUCACUGGCCCAUUACUGACGCUGAGGCACGAAAGCGUGGGGAGCAAACAGG